UUUCAAUUUUAUGUAAAAAAAAUAAUUUGUUAACAGAACAAAGCAAUAGGUUCAUCCCUUAGAACUCCAACAACCAGCUCCGUCCACUGGAUAUAAGCUUGUUAGAUUAAACUUAUCUCUUGGUUGUUUGUAGUACGUAUUAUGUGAUAGUUAAGAGCAGGUUGGAUACACUUUUUUUUUCAACAAAUUAAUCAGAUACUAUUAAUUUCAAAGACUUAGGAUUGUAAUACAAUUAUUAUAUUUUACUUAAAAAUUCAGUAACUUAAUGAUUGGAAAAAAAAAAUUAAUAUAUAAAGAGGUUUUAUUUUUAAAAUCCAAAAGUAAUAAGAUUGUACUAAUGUAGAAAAAAA